AAGUAUCUCCGAGUUCACCGAAUCUCUCGGUGAAUAGGAGUAACGGCUGGUUGGCACAGCCAUCGACGUUCCUGUUUGACAAGGAAACUGGCGCAUUCGCGCCUCAAGAACAGGUCACGUCGUAAACCACAAUAUCCCAACGCGGGAAUCCUCGCCCUUCAGCGCGGGGA
rnacentral:ncRNA from 1 species